ACACUUGGAAACAGGUGCUAAUACCGUAUAACACUAUUUUCCGCAUGGAAGAAAGUUGAAAGGCGCUUUUGCGUCACUGAUGGAUGGACCCGCGGUGCAUUAGCUAGUUGGUGAGGUAACGGCUCACCAAGGCAACGAUGCAUAGCCGACCUGAGAGGGUGAUCGGCCACACUGGGACUGAGACACGGCCCAGACUCCUACGGGAGGCAGCAGUAGGGAAUCUUCGGCAAUGGACGAAAGUCUGACCGAGCAACGCCGCGUGAGUGAAGAAGGUUUUCGGAUCGUAAAACUCUGUUGUUAGAGAAGAACAAGGAUGAGAGUAAAAUGUUCAUCCCUUGACGGUAUCUAACCAGAAAGCCACGGCUAACUACGUGCCAGCAGCCGCGGUAAUACGUAGGUGGCAAGCGUUGUCCGGAUUUAUUGGGCGUAAAGCGAGCGCAGGCGGUUUCUUAAGUCUGAUGUGAAAGCCCCCGGCUCAACCGGGGAGGGUCAUUGGAAACUGGGAGACUUGAGUGCAGAAGAGGAGAGUGGAAUUCCAUGUGUAGCGGUGAAACGCGUAGAUAUAUGGAGGAACACNCAGUGGCGAAGGCGGCUCUCUGGUCUGUAA
rnacentral:rRNA from 1 species